UGGGGAAUAUUGCACAAUGGGGGAAACCCUGAUGCAGCGAUGCCGCGUGAGUGAUGAAGGUCUUCGGAUCGUAAAGCUCUUUCGACGGGGAAGAAAAAAAUGACGGUACCUGGAGAAGAAGCCACGGCUAAUCACGUGCCAGCAGCCGCGGUAAUACGUGAGUGGCAAGCGUUAUCCGGAAUUACUGGGCGUAAAGAGCGCGUAGGCGUCUCGAUAAGUCAGAGGUGAAAAGUCAGGGCUUAACCUUGGCCUUGCCUUUGAAACUAU
rnacentral:rRNA from 1 species